rnacentral:rRNA from 1 species
UACGAAGGGGGCUAGCGUUGCUCGGAAUCACUGGGCGUAAAGCGCACGUAGGCGGAUUGUUAAGUCAGGGGUGAAAUCCUGGAGCUCAACUCCAGAACUGCCUUUGAUACUGGCGAUCUUGAGUCCGGGAGAGGUGAGUGGAACUGCGAGUGUAGAGGUGAAAUUCGUAGAUAUUCGCAAAGAACACCAGUGGCGAAGGCGGCUCACUGGGCCCGGUACUGACGCUGAGG